AGUCAUCAUGGCCCUUACGGCCAGGGCUACACACGUGCUACAAUGGCGCGUACAGAGGGCUGCAAGCUAGCGAUAGUGAGCGAAUCCCAAAAAGCGCGUCGUAGUCCGGAUCGGAGUCUGCAACUCGACUCCGUGAAGUCGGAAUCGCUAGUAAUCGCAAAUCAGAAUGUUGCGGUGAAUACGUUCCCGGGCCUUGUACACACCGCCCGUCACACCAUGGGAGUGGGUUGCACCAGAAGUAGAUAGCUUAACCUUCGGGAGGGCGUUUACCACGGUGUGAUUCA
rnacentral:rRNA from 1 species